rnacentral:rRNA from 1 species
AGUGAACGCUGGCGGCGGGCCUAAUACAUGCAAGUCGAGCGAACAGACGGUGAGCGUUCUCCUCUGACGUUGGCGGCUGACGGGUGAGUAACACGUGCAUAGCCUACUUAUUAUACGGGGGUAACUUCGUGAAACCGGAGCUAAUACCAGAUAAUAUGUUGAACCGCAUGGUUCAGGAGUUAAACGCGGUUUUCCUGUCACUUAUAGAUGAUGUCGGGCCGGAUUAGCUAGUUGGUAAGGUAACGGCUUACCAAGGCGACGAUGCGUAGCCGACCUGAGAGGAUGAUCGGCCACACUGGAACUGAGACACGGUCCAGACUCCUACGGGAGGCAGCAGUAGGGAAUAUUCCGCAAUGGGCGAAAGCCUGACGGAGCAACGCCGCGUGAGUGAUGAAGGUCUUCGGAUCGUAAAACUCUGUUAUUAGGGAAGAACAAAUGUGUAAGAAACUAUGCACGUUUUGACGGUACCCAAUCAGAAAGCAACGGCUAACUACGUG